GAUAAACGCUGGCGGCGCACAUAAGACAUGCAAGUCGAACGGAAGUCGUUUUAAAGAAACAGAAAUGGAAGAUGGAUUUAUUCAGACGAAGUGGAAGAGGACUUAAAACAAUGGCUUUAGUGGCGGACUGGUGAGUAACACGUAAGCAAUCUACCUAUUAGAGGGGAAUAACAGUGAGAAAUCAUUGCUAAUACCGCAUAUGCUUGUAGGAUCGCAUGAUCUAGCAAGGAAAGGAGAAAUCCGCUAAUAGAUGAGCUUGCGCCUGAUUAGCUAGUUGGUAGGGUAAAGGCUUACCAAGGCGACGAUCAGUAGCCGGACUGAGAGGUUGAACGGCCACAUUGGGACUGAGAUACGGCCCAGACUCCUACGGGAGGCAGCAGUCGGGAAUAUUGCGCAAUGGAGGGAACUCUGACGCAGUGACGCCGCGUAUGGGAAGAAGGUUUUAGGAUUGUAAACCAUUUUAGACAGGGAAGAAAGUGACAGUACCUGUAGAAUAAGCUCCGGCUAACUACGUGCCAGCCGCCGCCGUAACAC
rnacentral:rRNA from 1 species